GAUGAACGCUGGCGGCGUGCCUAAUACAUGCAAGUCGAGCGAACAGACGAGGAGCUUGCUCCUCUGACGUUAGCGGCGGACGGGUGAGUAACACGUGGAUAACCUACCUAUAAGACUGGGAUAACUUCGGGAAACCGGAGCUAAUACCGGAUAAUAUAUUGAACCGCACGGUUCAAUAGUGAAAGACGGUUUUGCUGUCACUUAUAGAUGGAUCCGCGCCGCAUUAGCUAGUUGGUAAGGUAACGGCUUACCAAGGCAACGAUGCGUAGCCGACCUGAGAGGGUGAUCGGCCACACUGGAACUGAGACACGGUCCAGACUCCUACGGGAGGCAGCAGUAGGGAAUCUUCCGCAAUGGGCGAAAGCUUGACGGAGCAACGCCGCGUGAGUGAUGAAGGUCUUCGGAUCGUAAAACUCUGUUAUUAGGGAAGAACAAAUGUGUAAGUAACUAUGCACGUCCUGACGGUACCUAAUCAGAAAGCCACGGCUAACUACGUG
rnacentral:rRNA from 1 species